UUGAGAUUUUAAGUUAGAGACAAUUUUUGAGACUUGAGAUGAUUUUGCUAUUCUGUAAGUGACAGUCACAAAAUCUAUAACAUUUCAUCAUUCAGAGAUGUUUUUACACUUGAAUGGAAAUAAAUAUGUCGAUAACAAAUAUUAAAAUUUCUAUAACAUCGUCAAAAAACAUAGUUAUCAAUAAAAAUGAAAAUAUAUGUUAACUUUGUUUCAUAAUAUUUACGAAAUUUAUGUAAAAUUUAUUCAUUUUUAACUUUUUCGUCUUUGAGUUGCUUACAAAAUAUAAAAAUACGACAAUCGAUUAAUAUCUAUGAUGAUCUCUAUUCAGUAUAUUCAAAAUGGCAGACAAGAGCUCUUUUUAGUUUUGUGACCGGCUAACUACCAGGUCUCAAUGUUUUGAGACUAACGCUAGAGACUGUUUAGUGAAUAGUAACUAGUCUCAAAUUGAGACUGCCUCAAAAUGUCUCAAAUAGAGACUAGAGACUGGUUACAGAAUCCCGCUAUAAGUCUCAAAAAUUGUCUCUAACUUAAAAUCUCAAAUUUAGAGACUUGAGACUGUCUCAAGUUACAGAUUCGCACGGCUAAUCUGGCAUUAUUAUUACCGUUUCUCAUUCAUUCAGCAAUAAUUAUUGACAUUCGAAUCAAAUCAAUAACUAUUUGUCAACUCUUCAUUGUCACGCACAGUGAUCACUCUCACAGCAAUGAACGCGCUCUUGCUCUGCAAGUGCGGCGAUGCUGUUAAGUGUUAUACUCAUGAUACUAAUAGCGGGAUUCUGUAACCAGUCUCUAGUCUCUAUUUGAGACAUUUUGAGGUAAAAUCUCAAUUUGAGACUAGUUACUAUUCACUGAACAGUCUCUAACGUUAUUCUCAAAAUAUUGAGGCCUGGUAGAUAGCAGGUCACAAAACUAAAAACAAUUCUUGUCUACCAUUUUGAAUAUACUGAAUAGAGAUCAUCAUAGAUAUUAAUCGUUUGUCGUUUUUUUAUAUUUUGUAAGCAACUCAAACACGAAAAGGUUAAAAAUAAAUCAAUUUUACAUAAAUUUCGUAAAUAUUACGAAACAAAGUAAACAUAUAUUUUUAUUUUUAUGGAUAAUGAUGUUUUUUAACUAUGUUAAAGAAAAUUUAAUAUUUGUUAUCGACAUGUUUAUUUUCAUUCAAGUACAAAAAAAAGCAAAAACAUCUCUGGAUAAUGAAAUGUUAUAGAUUUUGUGACUGUCACUUAUAGAAUAGCAAAAUCGUCUCAAGUCUCAAAAAUUGUCUCUAACUCAAAAUCUCAAAUUUAGAGACUUGAGACUGUAUCACAGUACAGAAUCUCACAUCCGUGAACGUAUCACUCGUCACGUAAAAGCCUGUAUUUCGUAUUAUGACAUACGUAAUCGUAACGCUUCUAUCGUAAUAUGGCAUGAUGACAUACGUACGUGAACCAGUAUAUAAACGCAAACUACCAAUCGUAAUAAACAAAUUUAUGGAAAUGUGGGCAAAUUUUUUUUUAACAUUUAAGUUUUUUAUAAUUUUUAGGAAUAAAGAACAUAAACAAGAAACCAGUGAAUGGAAUCUCUCAUUAAAAGUUAAAAAAAAAGUUAUUUGUAUGAACAAAAUUUUUGUAUUUUACAUGACAAUAAAUAUAAAAUUAUUUACAAGGUUAAGGACAUAUACAUUUUUGAAAUAAAUUUAUUUAUUUGGUCUCUUAACGUUGUUCGAUAGAUGUGAAGCGGUUCGCUACCCCGUUGUCCAUUUCUUGUGUGUGAAAAGAAUCGCAAUUUGAACAGAUGUUAUGUAAUGCCUCACAAACGUUAGCAAAUCUUGCACUUUUGUGCGGUUCCUCUCUUGCCAAAUCCUAAAAUACUCCACCGUCUUUUUAAGAUUCUAAUGCUUUGUUCAACGAUACAUCUGCAAAGAAAAUUUUAUUAAUGAGGAUUCAUAAUUUUUUUUAUAACUACGCUAUUGCUACGAUCUCUUAGCUAUCUCUGCACUAUUUUUUAUGCCCAUCACUUUCACGAAAGCUCAAAUAAAAAGCUUUAGUGAAUUCACUUUGAUAUUUAAUUCUUCUUCUUCUUAAUUGGCGUAGACACCGCUUAUGCGAUUAUAGCCGAGUUUUAAUUAGCUUUUGUUAAUUUAUUAAAAACUUCGCAACAGUUUUGACAGUUUCACAUCUAUUGUGACCUAAAAAUACGAUCCAAAGCAAUGUGGAAUUUAAAAACUAUUGUGAAUUUGAAAUACAUUACGAUCCUUUUGCUAUCGUAUGUCAUAAUUCCAAUCACCGCAUACGAUUGACGUAUCACGUAAUUUUCUUUCGUAUGUUUGCCGAUCCGUGCACGGAUGUAACGAUUCGACCCCUGAUUUCAAAUUAAGGGUUGUAAAAUAUUGCGAAUAACCCAUAUUAGACAAUAUCGACACUACAUUUGAAAUUGGAUAUUUAUCAUCAAUUGUUCACCCCUAUCAUGCAUUUCGAUUACGUUCCCGCUCUACGCUCCGCCGGAGUCGAAAUUAGGUAUCAUGCGUUACGAUUGGAUUGAAAGAAGAAGAGGAAGAGCUAUAACUCUUUCGAAAUCAGCUGUUUGCUUUGAAAUAUGUGAAACUGGAACAUAACAAAGCAAAAAUACACAAAUUACUGCUGUUCAAAGAAAAUAGAUAAAAGUAAAAUUUUUAUAUUGUUAUUAUUUUUAUUAAACGUAACUAUGGAAUCUUUAUCCGCGGCGAUAUUACUGGUUGAGGAGGAGAGCAGCGCAUCUCAGAAUGCUGGGGUGAGAAUUGAAAGGAGAUGAUUACGAGAUAUGUGCGAUCCCUUCCAGAUGAAUGACGGGCUAUUCAGAAAAACUUUCGUCUGAAUAAGGACGCAUGUCCUAGAUACGUUUGCGGAAGAAACGACGGCAAGUAAAUUUGAUGCUACCUCUUUCCAAAAAGCCUGCACAUCUUCCUUAGGACGCUGGUGGAAACCGUUGGCUAUAUCUAGCUUACUCUCCAUCAUAUCUGCCAAUUUUCCAUAUUGCUCUGGUGUUGUUGUUUUUGAC